rnacentral:rRNA from 1 species
UACGGGGGGGGCAAGCGUUGUUCGGAAUUACUGGGCGUAAAGGGCUCGUAGGCGGCCAACUAAGUCGGAUGUGAAAUCCCCAGGCUCAACUUGGGAACUGCAUCCGAUACUGGAUGGCUUGAAUUCGGGAGAGGGAUGCGGAAUUCCAGGUGUAGCGGUGAAAUGCGUAGAUAUCUGGAGGAAUACCGGUGGCGAAGGCGGCAUCCUGGACCGACAUUGACGCUGAGGAGCGAAAGCUAGGGGAGCAAACGGG